rnacentral:rRNA from 1 species
AGGACGAACGCUGGCGGCGUGCUUAACACAUGCAAGUCGAGCGGAAAGGCCCUUCGGGGUACUCGAGCGGCGAACGGGUGAGUAACACGUGAGUAAUCUGCCCCUAGCUCUGGGAUAGCUCCGGGAAACCGGGAUUAAUACCGGAUACGACCACCUUAGACAUCUUUUGUGGUGGAAAGAAUUUCGGCUAGGGAUGAGCUCGCGGCCUAUCAGCUUGUUGGUGGGGUAACGCCUACCAAGGCGACGACGGUAGCCGGCCUGAGAGGGCGACCGGCCACACUGGGACUGAGACACGGCCCAGACUCCUACGGGAGGCAGCAGUGGGAAUAUUGCGCAAUGGGCGAAAGCCUGACGCAGCGACGCCGCGUGGGGGAUGAAGGCCUUCGGGUUGUAAACCCCUUUCAGCAGGACGAAGCGAAAGUGACGGUACCUGCAGAAGAAGCGCCGGCUAACUACGCGCCAGCAGCCGC